AAAGAGUGCGUAACAGCUCACUAGUCGAGAGGUCUUGCGCCGAAAAUGUCCGGGGCUAAAACACACCACCGAAGCUACGGAAUUACCUAUGGUAAUUGGUAGAGGAGCAUUCUGUAAGGACGAAGCACAAUUGAAAGAGAGUGUGGACGAAACAGAAGAGAGAAUGCCGGAAUGAGUAGCGAGAUAUAUGUGAGAAUCAUAUAGGUCGAAUGUCUAAGGUUUCCUGGGUAAAGCUGAUCUGCUCAGGGUAAGUCGGGACCUAAGGUGAGGGCGAGAGCCGUAAUCGAUGGACAACAGGUAGAAAUUCCUGUACUACGUAUAAUCAGAACUGUGGGGACGCAGGAGGAUAGGAAAACCGGAGAAUGGAAAAAUCCGGCUAAGUACAAAGGUGUGAGUGAUAGGCAAAUCCGUCACUAUUAGCUGAAGUACGAAUGGGAGCGAAGAAAAGUAGCGAAGUUUCUGAAUCCACACUGUCAAGAAAAGCCGCUAUUGCGUUAUACGUACCCGUACCGCAAACCGACACAGGUAGACGAGGAGAAAAUCCACAGACCGACGGGAGAAGUGUUGUUAAGGAACUCGGCAAAAUGACCCCGUAACUUAGGGAUAAGGGGAGCCAACGCAAGUUGGUCACAGAAAAGAGGCUCAAGCGACUGUUUAGCAAAAACAUAGGUCUAUGCGAAACCGUAAGGUGAUGUAUAUGGGCUGACACCUGCCCGGUGCUGGAAGGUCAAAAGGAGAGGUUAGCGUAAGCGAAGCUUUGAAUUCAAGCCCCAGUAAACGGCGGCCGUAACUAUAACGGUCCUAAGGUAGCGAAAUUCCUUGUCAGGUAAGUUCUGACCCGCACGAAAGGUGUAACGAUUUGAGCACUGUCUCGACAACACGCCCGGUGAAAUUGAAGAACCAGUGAAGAUACUGGUUACCCGCAACAGGACGGAAAGACCCCAUGGAGCUUUACUGCAGCUUAAUAUUGGGAUUCGGUAUUGUAUGUACAGGAUAGGAGGGAGACUAAGAAGCUAGCACGCCAGUGUUGGUGGAGUCGAUGGUGGGAUACCUCUCUUAUAAUACUGAAUUUCUAACCUACUUCCGUGAUCCGGAAGAGGGACAUUGUUAGGCGGGCAGUUUGACUGGGGCGGUCGCCUCCGAAAGAGUAACGGAGGCGCUCAAAGGUCUUCUCAGAAUGAUUGGAAACCAUUCAAAGAGUGUAAAGGCAAAAGAAGGCUUGACUGCGAGAGUGACAACUCGAGCAGGUACGAAAGUAGGACUUAGUGAUCCGGUGGUAACAAGUGGGAGUGCCAUCGCUUAACGGAUAAAAGCUACCCUGGGGAUAACAGGCUUAUCUCCCCCAAGAGUUCACAU
rnacentral:rRNA from 1 species